CAGUUCGGUCCCUAUCUGCCGUGGGCGUUGGAAGAUUGAGAGGGGUUGCUCCUAGUACGAGAGGACCGGAGUGAACGCACCACUGGUGUUCGGGUUGUCAUGCCAAUGGCAUUGCCCGGUAGCUAAGUGCGGAAAAGAUAAGCGCUGAAAGCAUCUAAGCGCGAAACUUGCCUCAAGAUGAGUCUUCCCUGGGCCUUYAAGGCCCCUGAAGGAACGUUUAAGACUAAGACGUUGAUAGCUGGGUGUGUAAGUGCAGCGAUGCAUUGAGCUAACCAGUACUAAUGAUCCGUGAGGCUUAACCUUACAACACCGAAGGUGUUU
rnacentral:rRNA from 1 species